UCGGUCGCGAGGCCGAAUCUGAAGGAAGCCUUAAGGCAAACUCCAAAGCCGCCAAGGGCUAAUCCUGUAAACUCCAGUGGUCGCGGGCGGAAAGAUGACGCG
rfam:Thermobacillus composti KWC4, complete genome.